rnacentral:rRNA from 1 species
UACGUAGGGGGCAAGCGUUGUCCGGAAUCAUUGGGCGUAAAGCGCGUGUAGGCGGUUUGUUGCGUCGGCUGUGAAAUCCCGAGGCUCAACCUCGGGUCUGCAGUCGAUACGAGCAAACUAGAGUGUUGCAGGGGAGACUGGAAUUCCUGGUGUAGCGGUGAAAUGCGCAGAUAUCAGGAGGAACACCGGUGGCGAAGGCGGGUCUCUGGGGUGAGGCUGACACUGAUGCGCGACAGCGUGGGGAGCAAACAGG